GACGAACCGUGCGAACGUUGUUCGGAUUCACUGGGCAUAAAGGGCGCGUAGGCGGCCGGUCAAGUCGGGGGUGAAAUCUUUCAGCUUAACUGGAAAAGUGCCUUCGAUACUGAUCGUCUCGAGGGAGGUAGGGGCAUGUGGAACUUCCGGUGGAGCGGUGAAAUGCGUAGAUAUCGGAAGGAACGCCGGUGGCGAAAGCGACGUGCUGGACCUCUUCUGACGCUGAGGCGCGAAAGCUAGGGGAGCAAACGGG
rnacentral:rRNA from 1 species